CGCUAAAUUAGGAAAAACGCUUGAAACCUGUACGUUUUUUUGUUAUGCAAAAAAAUAAAUACAGACUUAAGUUGAGAGCGUUUAACUUAAGUCUUUUUUAUUAGCGUUAAAAAACUAUAUACAAGUGGUGGUAGUCCGCCACUCUAAGGGGACGCCUUUAGAAGAAGAGGCUAGGUGGUAUUCCGGUGUGGGAUACUUAGUAAUAUGCAACGCUAAUUGCAUAAGAUUGUAGGACGGAAUUUACAGUCUUGGUUUUUAUAAACCUGAAACUAAGUAAGC
ncrna:unclassified sequences ARRPOF RNA